UGCACUAACGUGCUCUGGCUGGGGAGAUCAGAUCACAGAUCUCUCCAGCCAGAAUCGUACAUAUUCCAGCGAUAGGAAUUCCAUUGCUCCUGCAACCUAUCUCUCUCUGCCUCCCCUCCACCCCCACCUUCUGAGACCUGGCAGUGAUCCUGCGGCUCCUGCUGCUCCUGCCAGGUCUCCUCCAAGUAAUGACUGCGGAGCCCCGUGUGAGGGGAAGAGGCGGGGCCGAAAGAGGGGAAGUUACAUCACUUCCUGUCCUGCAGAAUCUGCUG